UUGAUUUAUACUGUAAUAGUUCAUGACUUGAAAAUUAUACUGACCAUCAUUUGCAUUGACCAUUUAAGAAAAUCUGAGAAAAUAUCACUUGCAUAAUAUUUUGAAACACGGCGUAGUGGUUUUAGGAACCUCAUAGGAAAAAAAAAAUAUUGCAGCAAGCAGAAAAUAGUGGAAUAAAAUAAUAUAAAUAUCCUUUAUUGCAGGAUGAAGGAUAGUUCAGCAAAUACUCGCACAAAGAUCAUAAAAUAAAUAAAAGAUUAAAAAAUCAAAAUACUGAGGUAAUAAAAAAAAUAGUGCACUCUUUUCCAGAAGAAUUUGCAACUAAACAAGUUAAUAAAUAAAAAUAUUUAGGCCUGUUUCAGCAUUAAAAUGACAAUUGGUGACAAUAGAAAGUGUCCAGCACCAGAGACGUUAUUCAGAAUGAGCAAAGCUGCAUAGAUACCAGCAUGGAUGUAAAACGAAAGCACAGUUUAAUGUUUCGCCUUUCCUCUCAAACCGGUGAAACGGUGUAAUCCUGAUACGCCUCUGCUGCAUGUCUAGGCAGCAGAGCUCCAGAGUUCUUGUUACGUUAUCGACUUCUUACGUUAUCAACUGC